GGAAGUGCGCGGCUCACUGGUGGGGCCCUCGGACUUCAAAUCCGAUGUGAGGCGCUAACACCGUCUCGGGUGGGUUCGAUUCCCAUGCACUUCCGCCA
rnacentral:tRNA from 2 species